rnacentral:rRNA from 1 species
AGGAAAGCAGGGGAUCGCAAGACCCUUGCGCUCUUGGAGCGGCCGAUGUCUGAUUAGCUAGUUGGUGAGGUAAAGGCUUACCAAGGCGACGAUCAGUAGCUGGUCUGGGAGGACGACCAGCCACACUGGGACUGAGACACGGCCCAGACUCCUACGGGAGGCAGCAGUGGGGAAUUUUGGACAAUGGGGGAAACCCUGAUCCAGCCAUGCCGCGUGAGUGAAGAAGGCCUUCGGGUUGUAAAGCUCUUUCAGCCGGAACGAAACGGUCACGGCUAAUACCUGUGACUACUGACGGUACCGGAAGAAGAAGCACCGGCUAACUACGUGCCAGCAGCCGCGGUAAUACGUAGGGUGCAAGCGUUAAUCGGAAUUACUGGGCGUAAAGCGUGCGCAGGCGGUUUUGUAAGUCAGAUGUGAAAUCCCCGGGCUUAACCUGGGAACUGCGUUUGAAACUACAAGGCU